UAGGAAAAGAAAUCAAUUGAGAUUCCCUCAGUAGCGGCGAGCGAACGGGGAUCAGCCCAUUAAGUUAUGUGUGUUUUAGUGGAACGCUCUGGGAAGUGCGAACGUAGAGGGUGAUAUUCCCGUACACGAAAGGGCACACAUAAUGAUGACGAGUAGGGCGAGGCACGUGAAACCUUGUCUGAAUAUGGGGGGACCAUCCUCCAAGGCUAAAUACUCCUGACUGACCGAUAGUGAACCAGUACCGUGAGGGAAAGGCGAAAAGAACCCCUGUGAGGGGAGUGAAAUAGAUCCUGAAACCGCAUGCAUACAAGCAGUGGGAGCACCUUCGUGGUGUGACUGCGUACCUUUUGUAUAAUGGGUCAGCGACUUAUAUUCAGUAGCGAGGUUAACCGUAUAGGGGAGCCGUAGAGAAAUCGAGUCUUAAUAGGGCGUUUAGUUGCUGGGUAUAGACCCGAAACCAGGCGAUCUAUCCAUGAGCAGGUUGAAGGUUGGGUAACACUAACUGGAGGACCGAACCCACUGUCGUUGAAAAGCCAGGGGAUGACUUGUGGAUAGGGGUGAAAGGCUAAUCAAGCCUGGUGAUAGCUGGUUCUCCCCGAAAGCUAUUUAGGUAGCGCCUCGGACGAAUACCAUAGGGGGUAGAGCACUGUUUCGGCUAGGGGGUCAUCCCGACUUACCAAACCGAUGCAAACUCCGAAUACCUAUGAGUACUAUCCGGGAGACAGACUGCGGGUGCUAACGUCCGUAGUCAAGAGGAAAACAAUCCAGACCGCCAGCUAAGGCCCCAAAAUCAUAGUUAAGUGGGAAACGAUGUGGGAAGGCAUAGACAGCUAGGAGGUUGGCUUAGAAGCAGCCACCCUUUAAAGAAAGCGUAAUAGCUCACUAGUCGAGUCGGCCUGCGCGGAAGAUGUAACGGGGCUAAAACUAUGUGCCGAAGCUGCGGAUGUAUACUUUGUAUACGUGGUAGGGGAGCGUUCUGUAAGCCGAUGAAGGUGUGUUGAGAAGCAUGCUGGAGGUAUCAGAAGUGCGAAUGCUGACGUGAGUAACGACAAAACGGGUGAAAAACCCGUUCGCCGAAAGACCAAGGGUUCCAGUCCAACGUUAAUCGGGGCUGGGUGAGUCGACCCCUAAGGCGAGGCCGAAAGGCGUAGUCGAUGGGAAAAUGGUUAAUAUUCCAUUACUUCUGUGUAAUGCGAUGAGAGGACGGAGAAGGCUAAAUCAGCCUGGCGUUGGUUGUCCAGGUGAAAGGAUGUAGGCAUGUAUCUUAGGCAAAUCCGGGGUACUCUAUGCUGAGAUCUGAUAGCAAGCUGUACUUGUACAGCGAAGUGGUUGAUGCCAUGCUUCCAGGAAAAGUCUCUAAGCUUCAGUUACACAGGAAUCGUACCCGAAACCGACACAGGUGGUCAGGUCGAGUAGACCAAGGCGCUUGAGAGAACUCUGCUGAAGGAACUAGGCAAAAUGGUACCGUAACUUCGGGAGAAGGUACGCUGUUGUUGGUGAUGGAACUCGCUUCCUGAGCUGACGACAGCCGCAGAAACCAGGCCGCUGCAACUGUUUAUUAAAAACAUAGCACUCUGCAAACACGAAAGUGGACGUAUAGGGUGUGAUGCCUGCCCGGUGCUGGAAGGUUAAUUGAUGGGGUUAGCGUAAGCGAAGCUCUUGAUCGAAGCCCCAGUAAACGGCGGCCGUAACUAUAACGGUCCUAAGGUAGCGAAAUUCCUUGUCGGGUAAGUUCCGACCUGCACGAAUGGCAUAAUGAUGGCGGCGCUGUCUCCAGCAGAGGCUCAGUGAAAUCGAAAUCGCUGUGAAGAUGCAGUGUACCCGCGGCUAGACGGAAAGACCCCGUGAACCUUUACUGCAGCUUGACACUGAACUUUGACCUUACUUGUGUAGGAUAGGUGGGAGGCUUUGAAGCUGGAACGCUAGUUCCAGUGGAGCCGUCCUUGAAAUACCACCCUGGUAAUGUUGAGGUUCUAACUCUGUCCCGUGAUCCGGGACGAGGACCGUGUCUGGUGGGUAGUUUGACUGGGGCGGUCUCCUCCUAAAGAGUAACGGAGGAGUACGAAGGUGCGCUCAGCGUGGUCGGAAAUCACGCGUAGAGUAUAAAGGCAAAAGCGCGCUUAACUGCGAGACCCACAAGUCGAGCAGGUACGAAAGUAGGUCUUAGUGAUCCGGUGGUUCUGUAUGGAAGGGCCAUCGCUCAACGGAUAAAAGGUACUCUGGGGAUAACAGGCUGAUACCGCCCAAGAGUUCAUAUCGACGGCGGUGUUUGGCACCUCGAUGUCGGCUCAUCUCAUCCUGGGGCUGAAGCAGGUCCCAAGGGUAUGGCUGUUCGCCAUUUAAAGAGGUACGCGAGCUGGGUUUAGAACGUCGUGAGACAGUUCGGUCCCUAUCUACCGUGGGCGCUGGAAAUUUGAGAGGAUCUGCUCCUAGUACGAGAGGACCAGAGUGGACGAACCUCUGGUGUACCGGUUGUGACGCCAGUCGCAUCGCCGGGUAGCUAUGUUCGGAAGGGAUAACCGCUGAAAGCAUCUAAGCGGGAAGCCUACCUCAAGAUAAGAUUUCCCUAGGACUUUAUGUCCUCUAAAGAGCCGUUCGAGACUAGGACGUUGAUAGGUUGGAUGUGGAAGCAUAGUGAUAUGUGAAGCUGACCAAUACUAAUUGCUCGUGAGGCUUGACUAU
rnacentral:rRNA from 1 species